CAGCAGCCACGGUAAUACGAGGGGGGCAAGCGUUGUUCGGAAUUAUUGGGCGUAAAGGGCGCGUAGGCGGUUUGGCAAGUUUGGUGUGAAAUCUUCGGGCUCAACUCGAAGUCUGCAUCGAAAACUGCCGGGCUUGAGUAUGGGAGAGGUGAGUGGAAUUUCCGGUGUAGCGGUGAAAUGCGUAGAUAUCGGAAGGAACACCUGUGGCGAAAGCGGCUCACUGGACCAUUACUGACGCUGAGGCGCGAAAGCUAGGGGAGCAAACAGGAUUAGAUACCCCAGUAGUCCCUGUCUCUUAUAC
rnacentral:rRNA from 1 species